rnacentral:rRNA from 1 species
UGAGGAAUAUUGCGCAAUGGACGAAAGUCUGACGCAGCCACGCCGCGUGCAGGAAGACACCCCUCUGGGGCGUAAACUGCUUUUAUGCGAGAAGAACAGCUCCCUCGGGGAGACUUGACGGUAUCGCACGAAUAAGGACCGGCUAACUCCGUGCCAGCAGCCGCGGUAAUACGGAGGGUCCAAGCGUUGUCCGGAAUCACUGGGUGUAAAGGGUGCGUAGGCGGGCUUGUAAGUCAGAGGUGAAAGCCCACGGCUCAACCGUGGAACUGCCUUUGAUACUGCAAGUCUUGAGUCCUGGAGAGGCUAUCGGAAUUCGUGGUGUAGCGGUGAAAUGCGUAAAUAUCACGAGGAACACCGGAUGCGUAGGCGGAUAGCUGGACAGGUACUGACGCUGAGGCAC